UCGUCUUUUUGUCGACUUUCAAAAUCUUACGUGCACGUCGUCGAGAAAUAUUCUUAGUUUUUCGAUACAAGUCCAAUAAUGAAAGUUUUUAUUUUUGGACGACGAGUGAAUAGUAAAUCGGGAUUUCUCGAUAAACGAACCGAGCUCGUUUAUCAGAAUUUUGAGAACGAGCUUGCGUUUUCUAUAUUUAUAUAGAAUUACGAGUGCAAUGAAAGUGAGUAGAGGUUGAGAGGGCGAGUAACAAAGAGUAUGGGUUGUUAGUUGUUAAAACGAGACGAGACGAGAUAUUUAACGACUAACGGGUUAAUAUCCUAAAUAUCUAACCUACCCUACCCCUAACCACCCCCAAACCUCCCAAAACCCCUUUCCCCUCACUAACUCACGCUAUAUCAGCCCACACCACACACACAACUCACAUAUUCACACACACAACACCUAAAACACACACUACACACGCCAUUUUCCAUUUAAGCUUGGACGGAGCUUUUGACCUCCGAUUUGAGCACCGAGACGAGCGCCGAUCAUCUUUUCGAUCACGUAUCUAAGUAGGUCCUUUUGGGAAGUAACGACUUGAGGGAGAGAGUGACGUUACUCAUUGAUACAGAGACACAACGAGGUUGAGCUGAUGUGAUGAUGGUGCUGCAAUGAGCGGAGUCUCCAGGGUUGUUAAUAAAUAGUUAACCUGUCUAGAAUAUGUCUUCAUACAUAUGUCUAGCUACUUUCCGCUGCAAGAUGUUGUUGAUGUUAUAGUAUGUUAUGUCAUACUUUGAGUCUUAAGAGAAUGGUUGCAUAUGAUGUAUAACUUGAUUAAUGAUAUUAAUUAACUUUUAUGCAGUCUUUCAUAGACUGUUUUCAAUUGAGUAUUAAUGAAUAAAAAUGACGAGUUUAAUUAA